CGCUAUGUCAUAGGUAGUGGAGGAAGCGA
rnacentral:piRNA from 1 species